rnacentral:rRNA from 1 species
ACAAUGGGUAUCGACACCGAAAGGUGAAGGCAAUCUCCUAAACCCAUCCGUAGUUCGGAUUGUGGGCUGCAACUCGCCCACAUGAAGCUGGAAUCUGUAGUAAUCGUGUCUCAAAAUGGCACGGUGAAUAUGUCCCUGCUCCUU